ensembl:snRNA U4 U4 spliceosomal RNA
CACCCUGCACAGUGGUAGUAUCAUAGCCAAUGAGGUUUAUCCAAGACACAAUUAUUGCUAAUAGAAAUCUUUUCACAAAAUCCUGCCACGGUGACUUGAAAUAUAGUAAUAUAGUCGGUAUUGGGAAUUUUUGACAGCGUCUAUGGAAA